ensembl:lncRNA
CAGGCUUCACGCUGCCAGUGUAGCCCGAUGCAAGAUUCGAACCCACGAACCGUGAGAUCAUGACCUGAGCUGAAAUCAAGAGUCAGAUGCUUAACUGACUGAGCCACCCAGGCACCCCUGGAAUUUUCUCAUUUUAAGAAAAAUGACUUAGAUGAGGUCCAAUUUGUCAUUUUUUCCUUUUAUGAAUUGUGCUUUUAAGGUCAAGUCUAAGAACGUUUCACUUGAUCCUAAGUCCCCCCAGUUUUCUCCUUAAAAUGUUAUAGUUUUGUUUUAUAUUUAAAUCUAUGAUUCCUUUUGAGUGAGUUUUUUUUACAAGGUGUGGAAUUUAGGUAAGGUUUAAUUUUUGUUUAUUUACUUAUAUUUUACCUGUGGGCGUCCAUUUGCUCCAUUACCAUUUAUCUGUUAAAAGGCAUAUUCUUCCUCCAUUUAAGUUCUUUUGCAUCUUUGUCAAAAAUCACUUGGGCCUUUAUGUGUGGGUUCAUUUGGUUCUUUGUUUUGUCCCACUAAUCUGUGUAUCUAUCACUCUGUCAGUACUAAUGAUUAAUUUUAAUAUUUCCAUUUCCCCCUAGUUUGCACUGGGCGGACCUGGAGCCUGAGACCUAGAAGAGCAGCUGGAUUUGCUGUAGUGUAAUGUCACCCUUCAUGGAUGCCGCCACAUUCAGAGGUUCACCCCCAUCUCUUCUCCAUGCGGCAAAGUAAAAUUCCCAAAGGAAUUUCACAUCAGGUCCACCAGGACAUCCAGCUCUGCUUUUAGGAAAAGUCACCGCGAAGAGGAGGCAGCAACAAUGCCUUCUCAUCCACCAAGCAGUAUGGAUGGGUACUGCAUGCUGAAGCCUCUCAUGUCAGAAAACUCCAGGUCUUUCUCCCCCCAGGUCUCAUGGAAGGACACAGGGGAAUGUAUAUAGCCCACAUACAUGUUUUGUCAAACUGCUUUUGUACCAAAAUGUUUUUUCAAAUGGCUUCUAACAUAAAACCAAAAGCCACAUAAAAAUCUGCAUAUCUGGCUCUCCUUGGAAAGCCAAGACAUCUAAGAAACCCAUAUUAAUUCAACCAUGUUGUCUCCCCAUCCCUUAAAAAGGACAGACUUCCUUGGUGGCUACCCGAAAUGGGGUAAUGAAGGCCAUGACUAUGCAAUCUUCUAGAAACUCUGGUUAUUCACAUAAACCACUCUCCAGACCAUGAGCUCUAUCCUCUCAAUGUCAGAGUUCUUGUGUGGUGACAGCCACGAGGUGAACAGCUCAGGAAGAAUAUAGGAAUUCAUAAAACACUUAUUUGGAUUUGCAUUAUGGGUGCUACACAGGUCUGCGGAUCUUAGAAGUUCUGCACCCUUGGGGCACCUGGGUGGCUUGGUUGGUUAAGCACCCAACUUUGGCUCAGGUCAUGAUCUCACAGUUUGUGGGUUUGAGCCCCUUGUUGGGCUCUGUGCUGACAGCUCAGAGCUUGGAGCUUGUUUCAGAUUCUGCGGCUCCCUCUCUGCCUCUCCCUGGCUUGUGCUCUCUCUCUCAAAAAUGAAUAAACAUUAAAAGAAGAAGAAGAGGAGGAGGAGGGGGAGGGGAUG